rnacentral:rRNA from 1 species
UAGGCGUAAAUGAUGCGAGUUAAGUGUGGGGGCAUCUACGAGAUGGCCCUGUGCUGUAGGGUAGCCGUUAAACUCGCUGCCUGGGGAGUACGGUCGCAAGGCUGAAACUUAAAGGAAUUGGCGGGGGGAGCACCACAAGAGGUGGAGGCUGCGGUUCAAUUGGACUCAACGCCGGAAAAACUCAUCGGGAGCGACAGCAGUAUGAUUGCCAGGUUGAUGACCUUGCUUGACAAGCUGAGAGGUGGUGCAUGGCGUAGUCGUGU